UACGGAAGGCAGCAGUGGGGAAUAUUGCACAAUGGGCGCAAGCCUGAUGCAGCCAUGCCGCGUGUAUGAAGAAGGCCUUCGGGUUGUAAAGUACUUUCAGUCGUGAGGAAGGUGUUAAGGUUAAUAACCUUAGCAAUUGACGUUAGCGACAGAAGAAGCACCGGCUAACUCCGUGCCAGCAGCCGCGGUAAUACGGAGGGUGCGAGCGUUAAUCGGAAUUACUGGGCGUAAAGGGCACGCAGGCGGUUAAUUAAGUUGGAUGUGAAAUCCCCGGGCUUAACCUGGGAAUGGCAUUCAAGACUGGUUAGCUAGAGUCUUGUAGAGGGGGUAGAAUUCCAUGUGUAGCGGUGAAAUGCGUAGAGAUGUGGAGGAAUACCGGUGGCGAAGGCGGCCCCUGGACAAAGACUGACGCUCAUGUGCGAAAGCGUGGGGAGCAAACAGGGAUUAAUAC
rnacentral:rRNA from 1 species